rnacentral:rRNA from 1 species
CCUACGGGGGGCAGCAGUGGGGAAUAUUGGGCAAUGGAGGCAACUCUGACCCAGCAACGCCGCGUGUGCGAUGACGGUCUUCGGAUUGUAAAGCUCUUUAAGCGGGGACGAAGAAAGUGACUGUACCCGCAGAAUAAGCCUCGGCUAACUACGUGCGAGCAGCCGCGGAAAUACGUAGGAGGCAAGCGUUAUCCGGAAUGACUGGGCGUAAAGGGUGCGUAGGUGGUUUGGCAAGUUGGUAGCGUAAUCCCGGGGCUAAACCUGGGUGCUACUAACAGGACUGUUGAACGUGAGUGCAGGAGAGGGGAAUGGAAUUCCAAGUGUAGCAGUGGAAUGCGUAGAUAUUGGGAAGAACACCGACGGCGAAGGCGAUUCACUGGGCUGUAACUGACACUGAGGCACGAAAGCGUGGGGAGCAAACAGGAUUAGAUACCCGAGUAGUC